UACAGAGGGUGCGAGCGUUGUUCGGAAUUACUGGGCGUAAAGAGCGCGCAGGCGGUCGGAUCAGUCGAAUGUGAAAGCCCCCGGCUCAACUGGGGAGGGUCAUUCGAUACUGUCCGACUCGAAGGCAGGAGAGGGAAGCGGAAUUCCCGGUGUAGUGGUGAAAUGCGUAGAUAUCGGGAGGAACACCAGUGGCGAAGGCGGCAUACUGGACCACCACUGACGCUGAUGCGCGAAAGCCAGGGGAGCAAACGGG
rnacentral:rRNA from 1 species